AUUGAACGCUGGCGGCAGGCCUAACACAUGCAAGUCGAGCGAGCGGCGGACGGGUGAGUAAUGUCUGGGAAACUGCCUGGUGGAGGGGGAUAACUACUGGAAACGGUAGCUAAUACCGCAUACCCUCAGAUGUGCCCAGAUGGGUGUAGCUUGUAGGUGGGGUAACGGCUCACCUAGGCGACGCUCCCUAGCUGGUCUGAGAGGAUGACCAGCCACACUGUAACUGAGACACGGUCCAGACUCCUACGGGAGGCAGCAGUGGGGAAUAUUGCACAAUGGGCGCAAGCCUGAUGCAGCCAUGCGGCGUGUGUGAAGAAGGCCUUCGGGUUGUAAAGCACUUUCAGCGGGGAGGCGUUACCCGAAGAAUAAGCACCGGCGAACUACGUGCCAGCAGCCGCGGUAAUUC
rnacentral:rRNA from 1 species